rnacentral:rRNA from 1 species
CAAUGGGCGCAAGCCUGAUCCAGCAAUGCCGCGUGUGUGAAGAAGGUCUUCGGAUUGUAAAGCACUUUCGACGGGGACGAUGAUGACGGUACCCGUAGAAGAAGCCCCGGCUAACUUCGUGCCAGCAGCCGCGGUAAUACGAAGGGGGCUAGCGUUGCUCGGAAUGACUGGGCGUAAAGGGCGCGUAGGCGGAUGGCACAGUCAGAUGUGAAAUUCCCGGGCUUAACCUGGGGGCUGCAUUUGAUACGUGUUGUCUAGAGUGAGGAAGAGGGUCGUGGAAUUCCCAGUGUAGAGGUGAAAUUCGUAGAUAUUGGGAAGAACACCGGUGGCGAAGGCGGCGACCUGGUCCUUGACUGACGCUGAGGCGCGAAAGCGUGGGGAGCAAACAGGAUUAGAUACCCUGGUAGUCCACGCUGUAAACGAUGUGUGCUGGAUGUUGGGCGACCUAGUCGCUCAGUGUCGUAGCUAACGCGAUAAGCACACCGCCUGGGGAGUACGGCCGCAAGG